rnacentral:rRNA from 1 species
GACGAACGCUGGCGGCGUGCUUAACACAUGCAAGUCGAACGGAAAGGCCUGCUUUCCCUUGUGGAUUGCGGGUACUCGAGUGGCGAACGGGCGAGUAACACGUGAGUGAUCUGCCCCCAACUUGGGUAUAAGCCUGGGAAACUGGGUCUAAUUCCCGAUAGGACUGCAGGGUGGUGCCUGUGGUGGAAAACGAUUUUCUAGUGGUUGGGGAUGAGCUCGCGGCCUAUCAGCUUGUUGGUGGGGUAAUGGCCUACCAAGGCGGCGACGGGUAGCCGGCCUGGGAGGGUGGACGGCCACAGUGGGACUGAGAUACGGCCCAGACUCCUACGGGAGGCAGCAGUGGGGAAUAUUGCACAAUGGGCGGAAGCCUGAUGCAGCGACGCCGCGUGGGGGAUGACGGCCUUCGGGUUGUAAACUCCUUUCGACCGCGAGGAAGCCACCUGGUUGGAAGGGUGGUGACGGUAGUGGUAGAAGAAGCACCGGCUAACUACGUG